CUUGUUUUUUCCCGCCUUUUUUGCCGCCAUCUUUGGAAGGUCAGGUGCUUCUCAGCCAGCCGCCAUCUUGGGAGUGGCACAAAACCCCUAAGGCUUCCCUCGGCUCAUCCUUUAGGAGCCCAACUAAAUCGACUGCCGAAACUCGCCCACGACACAGCUGAGCCCCCAGCCCAUGCCCGUAAUCUUCAUAUCUAUUAUCUAUACGUGCACUAAACUUCAGAGCUGGUGGAUGCCGUUGCUCGGCAGGUGCCGAAUAAAGCGCCGUUCUCAGCCGGCAGGCGGAUGUGGCGUCAGUAUUUCCACCAUCAAAGCACUUAGACAAAACCUUGGAAGAGUUUGCAGAAGAAGUUCUGUUUGUGCACGUCGGGUGGCACUGGUCUCGUGGGCCCCCUACGUACAUUUCUUUCUCAAGUGACGAAAGCAUUCUCUUUGGAUACGGAUUAACUUUUUGAAGACCGAAAUGGAAAGGAAGAGCAGAAUUAAAUGAGACCUCCAAAAACGAGCUGAGAAGGGAAGCGAUGGAGUGGCUUUGGUGGGCACCUGGCAUCCAGACGGGGUCAAACCACCCCAACUAGCUGCAUCAUAUUGGAAUCUUUGUGUGACGAGCCCCGGCAGUCAGAGAUCUUCAGAAAACUAAACAUAAAUGAAGUAAUAGUCAAGACGGUGAGUGUAUUUCAAAGGGUGAGAAUCUCUUUAUGAAUCGUCCUGGCAAAUUUGCAGCUAUUAAGCGUGUUGCCGUUGGAGCAAACAGAAAUGCUACAGGAGCGUCCUUUUUUUGCGGUCAUUUUGGCAGCUAGGUUGUGCCAGCCGGAGAAACACAGCGUGUUUUCUGGUUUUAAUGAAGUGCUGUGGUCACCAAGCAUAAGAACUGCGUGAACUCAGUCUCCUUUGGGUCAUUCUGUCCAGUGCUUUUGUGGGUACAAUUGCCUAGCAGGGAGCCCCGCUUCGUUUUGCUCCCUCGGGCUGCGUGCAGACAGACACAGACGGCGAUUCCUUGUUUGUGCUUGCAGCAGUGGGAGCCUGCCUGUGAUCCUGCAGGUAUUGCACGGCUGCAUUUUCUUCUCCAAGAAGUCAGGGCCUUGGAGAGACGACGGCAGAGGGCUGCAACCAUUGUGGUUUCCAGGACACAGAAAGGGACGCGUGCCAGGGCAAUCCUACCAGACUCUGUAUUUCAGAGGCCUGUGUUUAAUGUCAAAAAAGAUCCAAGCCCAGCUGAAAGAGCUUCGUUGUGGGAAGAAGGAUUUGAUUUUUAAGGUAAGUUUUAUUUCACUGUAGUUAGCUAAAGUAUUAGGGUUAGUACAGCAUUGGAGUAAAGUAGGAAUAUUAUAGCUGCCUUUAUCAUUGCAGUUCUAAGGCAUAAGUUUGUUCUGAAAAGAGCUCAAAACACAGAUAAAAAACAGCUCAAAAACCAGACUUAUUACCAUAAUGCACUUUCGGAUAUAUAAUACACUCACAUCUAUAUUUUUGUGCUCACAAAAAGCAAGAUUCUAGGUUCCUGCUGAUGAAUAAAGCCUGUUGUGCUAUUCCAUACAUUCUGUAACAUCUUUCAUCUUUCUAACUGAAUGAUCCAAUAUUUUAUAGAUGCUUCUUGUUUUUCCUUUGAUUCGCACUCCUUCAUGACAAAGUCAACUCUUGUUAACAUUUAAAGCAAAUCUCUGUGUUCAUGAUAAGCUUGAGCAAUGUCAUGUUCCUGAGGUCUGAAGACUGAAGGAAAACAAACCUGUUUGUGCAUGUUUCACGUCUAAAGCCAGACACACUAAGCCGAGUAGAAGCCAUUUGGUAUAGUCUGGAAAGUUUUUUAAGUACCUGCUUGUGCUGAGUGAGAGGUGAACCGGUGUCAGGAAUGAACCCCACGCAAAAUCCCUUGCGCGAGGUCUCGAGUCGGAGCUUCCGUUUACCAGGAAGACUGAAACAAACGCUGGUUUCAAGUGACGGAGUCAGAACAGGACCUGACACGCUGCUGGUCAGGGUGGUGGGAGCAGUCCCAUGAAAUGGUGGUGGCAUUCGCACGGGAGCGAUGGAAGUGCUCCUGUCAAAAGAAGGAACCUGUGGAAAGGUCUGGUCCUUCUCUGGAGGUCCGGUGGUGGUGGUGGUGGAGAGCUCCUGUCCCCUGAGAAUCCAGUGGUAGGUGUCAGGUCCCAAACCCCAGAUUAUAUGGAGGCGGGAAUGUUCGGUACAUCCCCGAGGGCGGGGAGUUUCACACUGGGCUGAUGUGAUUCUGUGAGUUGUUCUGGGGAGUCCUUGAUUAGCAGAGGUGACCCCUCAGGGUGGCUGCUGCUUCCCCAGAAGGAGUUACCGUGGUUGAGUGGUGGCAAAGAUGGAGAAACAGUGCUGCACCCACCUGAGGUUCAUCAGAAAGUCACGGAGAUGGUGGUAGGAUACGUACUUUGGUUACACCCCUGUUGUAACCCAGGACGCUGCUUGAUCAGAGAGAGGCUGCUAGGUUUGGGCAAGAACAGGCGAUAUUUCAUUUCUAAUUGCUUUGAGACUGGAAACAUAACAGAUUUAAUCUUAGCAUUGCUGUUGAGGCUGUUUUAUGAAGCUGUUACUCUUCCUGAUAAAUGACAUGGAUAGUCUUCCUGCUGGCACAGCAUGAACGUUUGGGAUAAAAUCCUGGCUGCUAGCCACUUUCAUCUUCCUGGACUUUUACCUUUUCCACUUCUACUCCCUUCCCAUCCCGCUCAACUUUUUUUUUUCCAUGUGGCCUACUGAGGACUUUAGGGAAGUGUGUUCUCCACACAGUUCUGAGCACUGCAAGCUUCUGGGAGCUGUUCACCAGAAGGAUGCAUGUUGCAGGCUGUUAGAUUUCUAAAGGGCAUGAAGGAAAGCUGCAGCUCCUGUCCAUCAAAAGAAUGCUUUCUCUGAAGGAAUUAAUUCUGCAGGUACGUGUGAAAUAAAUAGGGAGGGAUGGCUGGAUUUCUACUUCACGUCACUGGCGUCAAGAAAGUAUUUCUUAAAUUCUGGUGCCUGUUACUGUCAAUGGCUCUGUCCUGAACUCGACCUCUGGGGAUUAACUGGGAGAGGAAGAGAAAAGGGGGGAAAAAAGGAGCUUUCUCUUUAGCAUUCCAGUGGAUUGGCAGAUCACAUCUUCUUUAUCAUAUCUUACUUACACUUCCUAUGUUUUCAAAGGGGUUCAUAAUCUAGCUGAUUAUUAGGGAGCAUAUGUGCGUGUAUGUUUAUAUUUUUAAACUCUCCCUAUGUGAUACAAAGCCACGGGACAGAUAAGUAAUGAGCAUCACAAAAAUUGUGAUGGUCAUAGUACCAAGGCCAUAGAGCUUGUCAGUAUCUCUGCUGAGAGUAUAAUUUGAGCUCCUGUCCCUUUGUCAGAUUUCAGUCCCUUACAGCAUGCAGCACGUUAUCCUUCAAGAACUGACCUA